UUAGAACGUCGUGAGACAGUUCGGUCCCUAUCUGCCGUGGGCGUUGGAAGAUUGAAGGGGGCUGCUCCUAGUACGAGAGGACCGGAGUGGACGAACCUCUGGUGUUCGGGUUGUGUCGCCAGACGCAUUGCCCGGUAGCUAAGUUCGGAAUCGAUAACCGCUGAAAGCAUCUAAGCGGGAAGCGAGCCCUGAGAUGAGUCUUCCCUGAUACUUUAAGUAUCCUAAAGGGUUGUCGGAGACUACGACGUUGAUAGGUCAGGUGUGUAAGUGCUGUGAGGCAUUGAGCUAACUGAUACUAAUUGCCCGUGAGGCUUAACCAUACAACACCCAAGGGGUUU
rnacentral:rRNA from 1 species